AUUGAACGCUGGCGGCAGGCCUAACACAUGCAAGUCGAGCGGGUGACGGGAGCUUGCUCCUGGAUUCAGCGGCGGACGGGUGCGUAAUGCCUAUGAAUCUUCCUGUUAUUAGGGGAUAACGUCCGGAAACGGGCGCUAAUACCGCCUACGUCCUGCGGCAGAGAGUUGUGUAACUUCGGACUUCACGCUGUCAGAAGAGCCUAGUUCGGAUCAGCUAGUUGGUGGGGUAGAGGCCUACCAACGCGACGAUCCGUAACUGGUCUGAGAGGAUGAUCAGGCACACUGGAACUGAGACACGGUCCAGACUCCUACGGGAGGGAGCAGAGGGGAAUAUUGGACAAUGGGAGAAAGCCUGGUCCAGCCAUGCCGCGUGUGGGAAGAAGGGCUUCGGAUUGUAAAGCACUUUAAGUUGGGAGGAAGGGCAGUAAGUUAAUACCUUGCUGGUUUGACGGUACCAAAAGAAUAAGCACCGGCUAACUUCGUG
rnacentral:rRNA from 1 species